AAUAAAGCCAGGGAGUUGGAUUUGCAAAGAAUUGCAGACAGACUAAAUGCGUUCCAUAUAAGGAGUCUACAAAUGCUGUGCUGCAUCCAAACCCAAGAAAAAGUUAUAAGUGAUGAAGACGCUGAAGGAUUUGGUAGAAGCAGUUAAGACUUGUCCUUUACCAUCACCCUCAUUUUCAUGAGAGGUAAGGUGCAGACCGGGAAAGCAGGCGAAGGAGAAACAAACUGAGGUAAAAGGGAUUUAACAUGGAAACACAGAGGGCAGACGAAAACAGAAUCACCAUAACAGCACAUAACACUACAAUGACAGAACUAAGGAAACAAACUCUGAUGUGGACUUAAAUACACCGAACUAACGAAGACAACUCGAAACAGCUGAUAAGCACUGGGAAUCCACAUGAGGUUAACGAGGGGGGCAUGGCACAGGAGGAUCGGCACGAUCGGGGUGUGACACUCAUUGAGUUGUUCUUCCAGUGAUGUUCAGCCUUCAACUGCGGUUUCAAGACCAGCAGAAAUGAGAGACCUUAGCAAUGUCAAGCCUUACUGGACAGAAGAUAAGCAAAACCCCUUUGGAUUCUGAAAAGGUCAAUGCACUCAUUGGUAUGUUGGUACAUUUUAAAACGAAGCUUUAUGUUAUCAAUACACGAUAAAUUACUAUGCUUAUAAUAUGCUUAUUGUCCAUCCAAGUAAUGUCAGUUUAAUGUGCAUUUUAUUAGGAUUUGCUUAUGUGCCUUUUCUAAAUCAGACAGUAUAUUAAGAACUUAUCAACUAAUCCAUUAUUAAAAUCAUUUAGCUUACUUUAUAAACCAUCACAGUAAUUUUUUUCAACAUUGUUGCUGUUUAAUUCUAUAUCAUCUACCAUGUUGUUUCUAGAUGCAGUGAUAACACAGUUUCCUGGUACUGUACAUCACCAUCAGAAAUCAGGAUGAUCCUAAGAAGGAAGUGCAACAAUGAAGCCUACUCAAGGAGAGCUCAGGAAAGUGUUAAGGAGAAUCUUGGUGCUGGUAAAGACAAUUGUUUGACAGAGAGUAACUGGACAACACACGACAUCUGACAGAGAUGAAACAAAGACAUUGACUGAAAGACAACCUAAAUAAAGACUAAGUGAAGUGAAAAGACAAAGAGAUGGUUCUUGAAGUUCCAAACAGGAAGUAUAUUGGUUGAAUUCCAUUUGGUGUUAAUUUAAUGACAGAUAAUUGAUGUCAUGUUUGUUUUACCCAUAGUAUUCAUUUGAAAUCACUUGCACUCAUGUGAACACUUGAAAAUUUCAUUGUGGAGGGUUUACUGUUCUAAAAUCUUUUAAUAUCUUAAAUCUUAUUGGUUGUUUGGUUUUUGUUAUUUUUGAUACUUAAGCCUAUGUCAAUUUCAGAGAUAUAAU